rnacentral:lncRNA from 1 species
CAUAUAUACUAAGUUUCGAAUUGAUUGGACUUAAACUUCAUCAAACACUAUCUUAACCCAAAACUUUAACCUGAACCAGGACAAACGGACGAAUGAACUAACGGACGCACAAACCUAAAACAUAAUGCCCUCUACAAUAGAAGAUGGGACAUAAUAAAAACAAAUAUUCCAAAAAUAUAGACUUUUAGUAUACAUUAUAAUCCUUUCCUUUCACAGAUACCAAUUUGACGGAAAUAUGGUAAAUAUGGCCAAAGCAUUGAUUUAAGAAGUAUUUGCAAAUAUGGAACUACGUAUGGUCGCAACUUAUAAUAAUAUAUUGAGAAAGGAAAAAACACUUUAUAAAUUACGUGCAUCCGAAGCACUUUACUGUAUUUACCUUCAUUAAGAACGCUGAAACUUAUAUAUUUUAUACCCAAGGAUGUAUCAAACACGCAGAGUAAUAUGACCAAAGGAAACCUAAAAUAGCUAAAAUCAUCUAAUGUUAACUGAGUUUGAGAGAGUAGAAGCAUGAAAGAAAUAUAUGACAGUGGGUCAGUCUAUAAUAUAUUAAAAGGAAAAAACAAUGGAUACUCAUCUUUGUCUAAAACUGAAUUUUAAAAACAAUAGCUUAGAAGGUUCGCCCUAAAAUAUAUUCAAUGGUUUCAAGUAGUGGCCAUUGAUUGCCCCUCUAAAGUAGCAAUCAUUAAAAUAUAUCUUGGCCAUGAAGUUGUCAGUUUGUUUACUAUCUCUAAGUGUGAAUGUCCCUCUUGUAUCUUUC